rnacentral:rRNA from 1 species
ACACGUCUACAUUAGAUACCCGGGUAGUCCCAGCCGUAAACGAUGCGCGUUAGGUGUAUCGACGACCACGAGUCGUCGAGGUGCCGAAGGGAAACCGUGAAACGUGCCGCCUGGGAAGUACGGUCGCAAGGCUGAAACUUAAAGGAAUUGGCGGGGAGCACCACAACAGGUGGAGCCUGCGGUUUAAUUGGACUCAACGCCGGAAAUCUCACCGGAUAAGACAGCAGAAUGAUUGCCGGGCUGAAGACUCUGCAUGACUAGCUG